rnacentral:rRNA from 1 species
AUGCAAGUCGAGCGAACGGACGAGAAGCUUGCUUCUCUGAUGUUAGCGGCGGACGGGUGAGUAACACGUGGAUAACCUACCUAUAAGACUGGGAUAACUUCGGGAAACCGGAGCUAAUACCGGAUAAUAUUUUGAACCGCAUGGUUCAAAAGUGAAAGACGGUCUUGCUGUCACUUAUAGAUGGAUCCGCGCUGCAUUAGCUAGUUGGUAAGGUAACGGCUUACCAAGGCAACGAUGCAUAGCCGACCUGAGAGGGUGAUCGGCCACACUGGAACUGAGACACGGUCCAGACUCCUACGGGAGGCAGCAGUAGGGAAUCUUCCGCAAUGGGCGAAAGCCUGACGGAGCAACGCCGCGUGAGUGAUGAAGGUCUUCGGAUCGUAAAACUCUGUUAUUAGGGAAGAACAUAUGUGUAAGUAACUGUGCACAUCUUGACGGUACCUAAUCAGAAAGCGACGGCUAACUACCUGCCAUCAACCUCUGUUAUACUUAUGUGGCGAGCGUCUUCCUGAAUUAUUGGGCGUAAAGCGCGCGUAGGCGGUUUUUUAAGUCUGAUGUGAAAGCCCACGGCUCAACCGUGGAGGGUCAUUGGAAACUGGAAAACUUGAGUGCAGAAGAGGAAAGUGGAAUUCCAUGUGUAGCGGUGAAAUGCGCAGAGAUAUGGAGGAACACCAGUGGCGAAGGCGACUUUCUGGUCUGUAACUGACGCUGAUGUGCGAAAGCGUGGGGAUCAAACAGGAUUAGAUACCCUGGUAGUCCACGCCGUAAACGAUGAGUGCUAAGUGUUAGGGGGUUUCCGCCCCUUAGUGCUGCAGCUAACGCAUUAAGCACUCCGCCUGGGGAGUACGACCGCAAGGUUGAAACUCAAAGGAAUUGACGGGGACCCGCACAAGCGGUGGAGCAUGUGGUUUAAUUCGAAGCAACGCGAAGAACCUUACCAAAUCUUGACAUCCUUUGACAACUCUAGAGAUAGAGCCUUCCCCUUCGGGGGACAAAGUGACAGGUGGUGCAUGGUUGUCGUCAGCUCGUGUCGUGAGAUGUUGGGUUAAGUCCCGCAACGAGCGCAACCCUUAAGCUUAGUUGCCAUCAUUAAGUUGGGCACUCUAAGUUGACUGCCGGUGACAAACCGGAGGAAGGUGGGGAUGACGUCAAAUCAUCAUGCCCCUUAUGAUUUGGGCUACACACGUGCUACAAUGGACAAUACAAAGGGCAGCGAAACCGCGAGGUCAAGCAAAUCCCAUAAAGUUGUUCUCAGUUCGGAUUGUAGUCUGCAACUCGACUACAUGAAGCUGGAAUCGCUAGUAAUCGUAGAUCAGCAUGCUACGGUGAAUACGUUCCCGGGUCUUGUACACACCGCCCGUCACACCACGAGAGUUUGUAACACCCGAAGCCGGUGGAGUAACCUUUUAGGAGCUAGCCGUCGAA